ACCCCAGUUCUCCACACAGUCUCUGCUUGAUCGUCAUCGCUCCUAACCUGGUGCCCUUGUGUUUCCCUGUUCUUAGUUUUCCCUGUGUCUAACCCUGUCUGUCUGUCUCUUUGCCUUUCCCCAGGUUCACUCACCCUUGUCCUCCGUCGAGUCAGCUGGGCUCGCCCACCUGCCCUCUCCCCUCGGACUUCCGCCACGGCGUCCUCCCGGCUCUCCCUCGUGCCUCGCCACUCAGCCGGCCACCACACUCCUCCACCAACCCCCCUGCCCCCCGUGCCCGUGUUCCCCGGCGACCACCUCUCCCUCACCGGAGCUCCCAUAACCCCUUCUUUACCUCAAUAAAAUCUGUUUCAACCUGA